GUCUAUGGACAUACCACCCUGAACAAGCCUGAUCCCGUCUGAUCUCGGAAGCUAAGCAGGGUCGGGCCUGGUUAGUACUUAUAUAGGAGACCACCUAAGAAGACCAGGUGCUGUAGGUA
rnacentral:rRNA from 1 species